rnacentral:rRNA from 1 species
AACGCGAAGAACCUUACCAAGGCUUGACAUGCAGAUGAAUACUAAAGAAAUUUAGUAGGCCUUCGGGACAUCUGUGCAGGUGAUGCAUGGUUGUCGUCAGCUCGUGUCGUGAGAUGUUAGGUUAAGUCCUGCAACGAGCGCAACCCACGUGUUUAGUUGCUACGCAAGUAGAAUUCUAAACAGACUGCCGUAGUUAAUACGGAGGAAGGUGUGGAUGACGUCAAAUCAUCACGUCCCUUACGUCUUGGGCAACACACGUACUACAAUGGCUAUCACAGAAAGAUGCGAAUCCGCGAGGAUGAGCGAAACUAUAAAAAGUAGUCCUAGUUCGGAUUGAAGGCUGCAACUCGCCUUCAUGAAGCCGGAAUUGCUAGUAAUCACAGGUCAGCAUACUGUGGUGAAUACGUUCCCGGGUCUUGUACACACCG